CAAUUUCUUUUCUCUUGUUUCUUUCUUAAAUAAAAACAAAAUGUAAUAAUAGUUGUUUUGUUAUACUCACUUUUAGCCUUAACUUCGUAGACAAAGUUACCUGUUUUCCUGACAUUCCUAUCUUAUCUUUAUGAUAAGCUGUUAUCAUUAUGCGGUUUAUAACAUGUAACUUAGUAGCAGUUAAAGUAUUACUUUACGUCUUCUUCUUAUAGAAAUGUGGAUAGAACAAUAUAGGAAUACUAAUUUUAUAUAUAUAUAUAUAUAUAUAUAUUAAUAAACAAUUUAUAUCCAGCUAUUUGAUCAAGUGCUUGAUCCUCAGCAGAAUGCCGUGUGGCAGUACGCCUUCGUCCAGUUACAGCAGAUUCCAUUUGUCCCUUUUAUUUCUUUAUUUAAACAGCAGCAAAUUGAUAAACAAUUAAUGCCUUUUCCUUAACACAGAAAAACAAUCCAAUUUAACUUUAAUGUGACAAAUUAACAAUGAGAAUAAUAAUCGAUAAAAGGAAUAUAAUUCAAAUGUAAAAUUGAUUUAUUUUGUAUCAGUAGAAGUCAAUGUCAUUUUAUAUGGAAAAAAAAGAUCUGAAUAUAAGAAAUAUCUUUUUUUAAAGCUUAA